CUAAGUGUAUUUUUUCAGAAAGUUAUCUUUUUUUUUUACCUCUCCUUUCCACAUUUCCAAAAUUUAAUUUAAGUAUUUUUAUAAAUUUCCAUGUGUCAAUUUUGUUUAAAAGUACCAGCAUCAAGCUGGGCACAGUUAUAUUCUAUAUGGUGUAUAUUAGUUGGUACCUUGAGCAUUGGUUAUUCAUUGUACUUUGUAAUCGAUAUAACUAAUUAUACAGAAAUUUUAAAUAACUUAUUCAGUCAUAUAAACACUUCAAUGAACUCUGAAAAAUUGUUGUUGAUUGCCUGGUGUGAUAUGUCUAUUUUAGUUAUUUUUUCAAUAAUGUAUAUUUUGGCUGGUGUCUUCAUGCUGCUGGGAAUGAGAACAAACUCGAAGGCGUUUUUUAAGGUUGGAAAAGUCCUUAGUUACUUUUUUCCAAUAUAUACAUGGAUGUUUAUUCUUACAACGGUUGUUCAUUGUAUCUGCGUUAUAAAAUUGUGCCAAUAUAUGAAGGAUACCUGGCCUCCAAUCUGAUUUGAAGUACGUUAAAUAAACGGAGCGGUAAGGACAAAUUGAGAGUGUAUUUCAAAUUUACUAAUAAGCGAAGAAACUGAGCAAGAAAUAAAGCUAAGGGAUAACUUCUAAAAAAUUAAA